GCCCACCCUGCCUGGGGCCGCGGUCCCGGAGCGCGGCGGGAAGAACGCCCACGUCACCUCCCGGUGUUGUUACACCCACAAUCACCACACUCUGACCCCCGCAAAGACCACAGAGGAGUAGGAAGAGGGCUGCCCUCGUACUCCCCAAGCCACCCCCGCCUCUGAGCGCGGAGGCACGAUGUUCUGGGGCUCGAGCCUUCGCAUCCACCGGGCCAGCGCUAACCACCGGCCGCCGCCCUGGAGGGGACCCGGCGGCCCCGCCACGUGCGGCUGCGAGUUUCAGACCCGCUUCCGGGGGGCGGCGGCCGUCGGAGGCCUGGGUUGGGGGGUCGUGAGCCGGAUGUUCCCCGCAGCUGGCCAGAAAGCUGCCUCUGAGCCUCUUGAGCAACUCCCUGCCUCCUCCGGUAGUCUCUCUGGACUCUCCAAGUGACUUGCUGGGGGCACCGGGCGCGGGGAGGGCAGGCCCCCGGGGUGACGCAGAGAAACCCCGGGACUAGCUCUGUCCCUGGUGCCCCGGCUACUGCCAGCGGGUCCUUAGCGCUGUCGAUUGCGCGCACCGGAGCCCGAAGUCUUCCCCACCGCUGGCAGGAGAGCCCCGCGAGCUCUCCCGGACGUGUCGGGUCCUAAAGGGGAGAGCUGAGCAGCCACUUCAGGGAUUGCACUCCGAGGUGGCCGAGGCAGGGAGGAGCGCUGGCCCCGCGAAGGAGGCCUCAACCUUAGGACAACCCGGGCGUCCCGGGCGAAGGUCUCGAUCUGCCGGAGCCACUGCCUUUCAGGCAUCGCUCCAUUAAAGCCAGGGAGGAGAGGGUCAUUGGCCAGCGACCCGCCCUCCUUACGUCCGGAGGUCACCCCACGCCUACAGGCAGGUUUUUCUGUCUCCUUUGCAGAACACUAUGCGUUUGUUACAACGAUUAAAUGAAGAACACAGAAGUCUCUGGCUCUGCCGGGCAGAACGCCUCUUAAGAGUAUCGCAGCUAAAAAGUGGGUUGGCUGUAAGCUGAUAAUCAGGUAGCUGUGGUCAGACACCCACUCCAGAACCUCUGCUACUCAGAGACCAUGUUAUCACACGCGACGUCCAUUAGGCCCCAGUAAUCCGCUAUCAACGCAUUUUAGAGCCAUUUGAAUGUUAAGGAGAUUUUUAUUAAUGGUCCAUGAUCCUAAAAUGUGACUAUUGGUUCUAGGAACAGAUUUUAACAACUCAAGGCUGUGAUGAGUGAUUUUCUGAUUUCUGUGCAGCCUAAGGCCUCAGGAGAUUUCAUCUGGGAGAUUGGGGGCAAGACCUAAGCCCUCACCCCACCAAGGACCUGUCUCUAAAGGGUACUUUCCAGCUUUUACCUGGGGAAACUGAGAUAGAGGGGGAGCAGGCCUGUGGCUCCUAAAGGCAGCAUUUGAAGGUCCUUUAAUGGGGAGACCAGGGGGACAAAAAAAGCAAUCAACAAUUGUAUGGCUACUAGAAACUGGCAUCUUAUUUUUAAAGAAGCCCUCAGCUGGAAAUGUCACCUAGUGAUGUCAAGUAGACUAAGAAAUUCUUAAUCAAAAGGCCCCCUUUGCACACCUGCAGUAGGCAAACUGAGGCAGGAGCAGUAGAGGUAGCAGGUAGCAGAGGAUUCUGAUUCUUGAAUACCUUUUUUUCCUUGUGGUGCUGAAACAGAAGUCAAUCCAAACUUUGCCCACUUACCAUUAUAUUUUCAGUGGGAUUCUUUUUUGUUUUCUUUGUUGUUGCUGUUGUUUUUUCUUUCAAAAUACCGUGUUUCCACUAAGAAUUAAAAGAAAAGGGGUGGGGAGAUUAAGGAAUAAAA
rnacentral:lncRNA from 1 species